AUUCUGCUUUUUUGCCUUCAGUAACAAGGAUUCAACCUUGUGAUUUUUAAAAUAACCAAGGGGACCCUUGUCACUAAGUGCAAUUAAUGGCAAAAU